rnacentral:rRNA from 1 species
AAAUUGAAGAGUUUGAUCAUGGCUCAGAUUGAACGCUGGCGGCAGGCCUAACACAUGCAAGUCGAGCGGAAACGAGUUGUCUGAACCUUCAGGGAACGAUAACGGCGUCGAGCGGCGGACGGGUGAGUAAUGCCUAGGAAAUUGCCUUGAUGUGGGGGAUAACCAUUGGAAACGAUGGCUAAUACCGCAUAAUGCCUACGGGCCAAAGAGGGGGACCUUCGGGCCUCUCG